rnacentral:rRNA from 1 species
AUGGGCUUUUUAUUUUGAAACACACCCGUUCCCAUACCGAACACGGAAGUUAAGCUCUUCAGCGCCGAUGGUAGUCGGGGGUUUCCCCCUGUGAGAGUAGGACGCCGCCAAGC